CCAAGUCUGGCGCAAGUUUUUGUGCAGAUCAGACUCACAGCCCAGGAUGAGUUAGACAAAGUAGGUUUCCCAUAUAUCGUAUUGUGGAUAAUUAAU